GUCGCGGUGCCAGAGUGGUUAAUGGGUAAGACUUGAAUAAAUCAAAGAUUAUUCAGCCAUCUUAUGGCUUCGGCCUCGCAAGUUCGAAUCUUGUCCGCGACG
rnacentral:tRNA from 1 species